CUCUAGCAUCAAACUUCAGCUGCUACAGAGAAAGCCAGGUGUAUGGAGCAAACAAAGCCUGCAGCCUGGGAGAUUAGGAACCGCUCCUAACAACGGACUUAAUAACAUCACAUUAAUCACCUGAUUGGAUUCUUCCAACUUGAAGCUCACAGAAGUUGAGAAAACAGAUCUUGAGAAGGGAAGGGAGCCAAGGUCACACAGCAAGCAAGGAGCGCUGCCAGGCCUCUGACCCUGGGCUCCACCUUCAAAGGUCAAAGAUUAAGGUGCCCACAACAAGCCCCUGCCAGUGUGUGGGGGAGUAUCCAGACCUCACCUGUUGUCCAGGAUGGG
rnacentral:antisense_RNA from 1 species